rnacentral:rRNA from 1 species
AUGGAUCCAGAUCCACCAUCGCCGGACACCGACGACUCUUCUUCUCUGUGGAAACUCGCGGUGUACCUCAUCGUCGCCUUCGCGGUCCUCCUGCUCGCAUGUCUCGUUAAGUGUUGCUGCAAGAGGCGCGCUCGCGCUGAGGCGGAGGCGGCGGCAGAGGCAGAGGAGGCCGCUGCCGCUGCCACAGCCGCUCGGCUGCGAGAAUGGCGGUGGCGGCUGGAAUCCCGCCGCCACCAUGACGAGGUGCAGCUCCCCAGCGCCCGCGCUGCCAACCCGGCGGCCCGCCUCCCGGCGUUCAAGUACAACCGGUCCCUGAAGCACAACGUGACGGGUGUAGGAGAGGAAGCGGCGACGUGCUCGGUGUGCCUCGGCGUGUUCCAGCUAGGGGAGACGGUGCGGCUGUUGCCGGCAUGCCUGCACCUAUACCACGUGGAGUGCAUCGACCCGUGGCUGGACGCGCAUUCGACGUGCCCGAUCUGCCGCUCAGACGCCGACCCGACGAUGGACGGCGCUCGGCUACCUCCCGUUUAA